UACGGGGGGGACAAGCGUUGUUCGGAUUUAUUGGGCGUAAAGGGCGCGUAGGCGGACCGUCAAGUCGGAUGUGAAAACCAUGGGCUUAACCCAUGGCCUGCAUUCGAUACUGGCGGUCUUGAGUAUCGGAGAGGAGUGUGGAAUUCCAGGUGUAGCGCUGAAAUCCGUAGAUAUCGGGAGGAACACCAGUGGCGAAGGCGGCCAUCUGGACGGUGACUGACGCUGAGACGCGAAAGCGUGGGGAGCAAACAGG
rnacentral:rRNA from 1 species